UCUUGGUCNNUUUAGAGGAAGUAAAAGUCGUAACAAGGUUUCCGUAGGUGAACCUGCGGAAGGAUCAUUACCGAAUUGUCAACAAGAGUUGUUGCUGGUCCUCAAAACGAGGGCAUGUGCACGCUCUGUUUACACAUCCACUCACACCUGUGCACUUUCUGUAGUUCUAUAGUUGGGGAGGCCCUGGCCUUCCUUCUGUAGUCCUAUGUCUCUUCACACACACACACUCAGUGAUAAAGUCUCGUGGAAUGUAUGCUGCGUUUAACGCAAUAUAAUACAACUUUCAGCAACGGAUCUCUUGGCUCUCGCAUCGAUGAAGAACGCAGCGAAAUGCGAUAAGUAAUGUGAAUUGCAGAAUUCAGUGAAUCAUCGAAUCUUUGAACGCACCUUGCGCCCUUUGGCUAUUCUGAAGGGCAUGCCUGUUUGAGCAUCAUAAACAUCUCAACUCUCGUGGUUUCCCAUGAUGAGAUUGGACUUUGGGGGUCUUGUUGGCUUAUGUUCAGCUCCCCUCAAAUCUAUCAGCUUCCCAGUGUUUGGCGGCAUCACAGGUGUGAUAAAUAUCUACGCUUGUGGUUCUUUGCCAGGUCUGUCCUCUCCUUGUGGAGGGCUCGCUGGAGCUCAUAGAUGUCUCUCCUUAGUGGAGACAGCUGUUUGAAGUUUGGUCUCAAAUCAGGUAGGAUUACCCGCUGAACUUAAGCAUAUCAAUAAGCGGAGGAAAAGAAACUAACAAGGAUUCCCCUAGUAACUGCGAGUGAAGCGGGAAGAGCUCAAAUUUAAAAUCUGGCGUGCCUCUGGUCGUCCGAGUUGUAGUCUGGAGAAGCGUUUUCCGUGUUGGACCGUGUACAAGUCCCUUGGAACAGGGCAUCAUAGAGGGUGAGAAUCCCGUCUCUGACACGGACUGCCAAUGCUUUGUGAUGCGCUCUCAAAGAGUCGAGUUGUUUGGGAAUGCAGCUCAAAAUGGGUGGUAAAUUCCAUCUAAAGCUAAAUAUAGGCGAGAGACCGAUAGCGAACAAGUACCGUGAGGGAAAGAUGAAAAGCACUUUGGAAAGAGAGUUAAACAGUACGUGAAAUUGCUGAAAGGGAAACGCUUGAAGUCAGUCGUGUCUGCCAGGACUCAGCUUUGCUCCUGCAUUGUGUAUUUCCUGGUUGGAUGGGCCAAUAUCAAUUUUGACCGUUGGAAAAAGGCUUUGGGAAUGUGGCACCUUCGGGUGUGUUAUAGCCCUUUGUUGUAUACAGCGGUUGGGAUUGAGGACUGCAGCACGCCUUUAUGGCAGGGGUUCGCCCACAUACGUGCUUAGGA
rnacentral:rRNA from 1 species